rnacentral:rRNA from 1 species
CAGUGGGGAAUAUUGGGCAAUGGAGGAAACUCUGACCCAGCGACGCCGCGUGCGGGAUGAAGGCCUUCGGGUUGUAAACCGCUUUCAGCAGGGAAUAAGCGCAAGUGAAGGUACCUGCAGAAGAAGCACCGGCUAACUAUGUGCCAGCAGCCGCGGUAAUACAUAGGGUGCAAGCGUUGUCCGGAAUUAUUGGGCGUAAAGAGCUCGUAGGUGGUUUGUUACGUCGGUUGUGAAAUUCAGGGGCUCAACCCCUGACUUGCAGCCGAUACGGGCAAGCUAGAGUUUGGUAGGGGAGACUGGAAUUCCUGGUGUAGCGGUGGAAUGCGCAGAUAUCAGGAGGAACACCGAUGGCGAAGGCAGGUCUCUGGGCCAAUACUGACACUGAGGAGCGAAAGCGUGGGGAGCGAACAGGAUUAGAU